ACAGCAGCCGCCGCGGGAAUACGUAGGUGGCAAGCGUUGUCCGGAAUUAUUGGGCGUAAAGGGCUCGCAGGCGGUUUCUUAAGUCUGAUGUGAAAGCCCCCGGCUCAACCGGGGAGGGUCAUUGGAAACUGGGAAACUUGAGUGCAGAAGAGGAGAGUGGAAUUCCACGUGUAGCGGUGAAAUGCGUAGAGAUGUGGAGGAACACAGUGGCGAAGGCGACUCUCUGGUCUGUAACUGACGCUGAGGAGCGAAAGCGUGGGGAGCGAACAGGAUUAGAUACCCCCGUAGUCCCUGUCUCUUAUACC
rnacentral:rRNA from 1 species